CUCCCUGGUGGCAAAAUAUAUCGACAAUAAUUACACAACAAAGGAUCGAAGUUUGUCUAGAGAAAGUUGUAAAUAAUACUGAGAAUGAAAAAUACAAUGCUUUCUUUUACGUGACGGAUUGUUCGCCGCAAGAAGAUCGAUCCAAUCUUUCCACGUUAUCUGCCAUCAAAACUGGAAAAGAAACGCUUUGCUUUGUUGACAAACGCACAAUCUGCUCACCGCGGGAAGUGAAAUAUUACGCCGCCACAAGCGGAUAUAUCUGCCAUCUUGACCUUGGUUACCAACUGUAACCAUGUCUGAUCACAGGGUAAUUAGAACUUUUACCUCGGUUAAAUUUCUUGUGUGUUUUGUGGCAUUUACCAAAGUAUCAGUAGGCGUUUAGACACGGAAAAUGUUUACCUAGGUAAGUAAACUCUGAUACCUCUGUAAACUGUUGAAGUCUAAACACAGCAUUAGAUUAUAGCGUAUGACAUUUCUCUUUUCGAAUGUAUUUGGUGUCUGAAAGUAAUUUUGGAGCCAGCCUACAAAAUUAACUGAGUUCUGAAAGUUUUUUUGUUAAUCUCGUCUUUGCAGAUAUGCGGGGAGAACAAGUUGAUAGGAGUGCUCAGCGUGGAUUCACCAGGGGAUCUGGACAUUUGUUUUGCGACCCUGUUGAAACAGCAAACUGCGCAUGUUCAAGUCACUACUGAGGUCACCCCCUUCAGGCCUUAUGAAGAUUUUGCUGGUACUUGUGCUGAAAGAAGCCGACAAAGCUUGGACACCACUCCUAUUGAGAGUGUGAGAAAUGAUGGAUUGUACUACUUUAUUCGGUCCCGCGUGGAGUACUUAGGGAUAAGUCAGCUAGAUCUUCUUUCGACCUGGACCGAAGAAGCUAAAUCUUCUCUGGAGGCAAAAAAAUUGGGAUCAAUCGUGGACUUGUGGAAAGUGGUGGCUGAGAGACAGGUUUGGGUGAUUGUUUGUAUGAAUAACCCAGGGGAUGCGGACGAGCUUUUAACGUUUGAUCUGCCAAUCUUGAAGAAGAUGGGAGCCCAAGUUUACUCAAAGUGCAAGUCCAUUCGUCCCAUCAGCUGCUGGGUCGAAGACCUUAAGAAACUUGUGUCUGCUAAUUAAAUGACCGAGUAAUCCAAGUAACGCUUUACAGUUUUAAGUUAGGUGUCGGAUUUUAUGGUCUUUUAUUUGUGAUGAGUUAAUUCAACAGCUUGUGUGUGACUGUUUAACCAAAAACAAGUAAAACACACCAAGUGUAAGUUGUCAAAUAGUCGGUAGGCGGCGGUACGUUUGCAGCCACAAGUACAUUGCUAAUAUAACUAGCUACAGGAACUGCUUCUACUAAGAUAAAAACACUUCGUUUUUUUACACAAAUACUGAACGUUUCUUUUACACAAAUGCUGAACAUCACUUUGAUUGUUUGAUUUUCUUGAUAGGAAAACUGAAAAACACAUACCUUUACAACAACGCUAAUUAUAUAAACGACUCACUUUACGGCAAAAUACUAGCAAAUAGCAGACCACAAAUAUGUGUAUAGUUAGUGCCGCGAUUGCUGAGUAGAAAACAGGAUGUUUGAUCUUGCUGUUGUAACGUUGCAGUAACUGAAUUUGUAUAGUAAAAAGCCACUUGACAUGAUCUUUUCAAAGUAAAUUCCUUUUUAUGCA